CGCAUCUGUGCAUGCAGCAUAUCAAUAAGCGGAGGAAAAGAAACUAACAAGGAUUCCCUUAGUGACGGCGAGUGAAGCGGGAAGAGCUCAAAUUUGAAAUCUUCAAGGUUUUACCUUGACGAAUUGUAGUUUAAAGAAGUGUUUUCUGUUGAAGUUUUGGUAAAAGUUCUUUGGAAUAGGACAUCAUAGAGGGUGAGAAUCCCGUAUUUGACCAUUAUUUUCAGCUGUGUGAUACACUUUCAAAGAGUCGGAUUGUUUGGGAAUGCAGUCCAAAAUGGGUGGUAAAUUUCAUCUAAAGCCUAAAUAUUGGCGAGAGACCGAUAGCGAACAAGUACCGUGAGGGAAAGAUGAAAAGAACUUUGAAAAGAGAGUUAAACAGUACGUGAAAUUGUCCAAAAGGGAAGCGUUGUGACACCAGUGUUGUUUUCUCGAAAAUCAAUUAAAAAGAGUUAGAUUUUGUUGUGUAUUGACCUUAACAGCUUGCAUUUCAAUUUUCUUGCUUUUUUUAAUGCACUUUUCGUUUAACAAGUCAACAUCAGUUUCUUUUGUUGUAAAAAGGUCAUUGGAAGGUGGCUUUCUUUUCGGAGAAAGUGUUUAUAGCCUUUGACUCCUGCAAUCGGAGAGACUGAGGUCUGCAGCGUAGAUCCUUCGGGGUUAGAUACAUUUGUGCUAAGUUAUAGCUUUUUAUAGACAACUUGUUGACUAUGAUUAGUCUUGUAGACUUACUCGCUUAUGCUAUUUUACCUACGCUUAGGAUGUUGACGCGCGUGUGUGCGU
rnacentral:rRNA from 1 species